CCUACGGGCGGCUGCAGUGGGGAAUAUUGGACAAUGGGGGGAACCCUGAUCCAGCCAUGCCGCGUGUGUGAAGAAGGCCCUCGGGUUGUAAAGCACUUUCAGUGAGGAAGAACGCCUGGUGGUUAAUACCCAUCAGGAAAGACAUCACUCACAGAAGAAGCACCGGCUAACUCCGUGCCAGCAGCCGCGGUAAUACGGAGGGUGCGAGCGUUAAUCGGAAUUACUGGGCGUAAAGCGCGCGUAGGUGGCUUGAUAAGCCGGUUGUGAAAGCCCCGGGCUCAACCUGGGAACGGCAUCCGGAACUGUCAAGCUAGAGUGCAGGAGAGGAAGGUAGAAUUCCCGGUGUAGCGGUGAAAUGCGUAGAGAUCGGGAGGAAUACCAGUGGCGAAGGCGGCCUUCUGGACAGACACUGACACUGAGGUGCGAAAGCGUGGGUAGCAAACAGGAUUAGAUACCCUAGUAGUC
rnacentral:rRNA from 1 species